CGCAGAUAUCAGGAGGAACACCGAUGGCGAAGGCAGAUCUCUGGGCCGUAACUGACGCUGAGGAGCGAAAGCGUGGGGAGCGAACAGGAUUAGAUACCCUGGUAGUCCACGCCGUAAACGUUGGGCGCUAGAUGUAGGGACCUUUCCACGGUUUCUGUGUCGUAGCUAACGCAUUAAGCGCCCCGCCUGGGGAGUACGGCCGCAAGGCUAAAACUCAAAGGAAUUGACGGGGGCCCGCACAAGCGGCGGAGCAUGCGGAUUAAUUCGAUGCAACGCGAAGAACCUUACCAAGGCUUGACAUACACCGGAAACGGCCAGAGAUGGUCGCCCCCUUGUGGUCGGUGUACAGGUGGUGCAUGGUUGUCGUCAGCUCGUGUCGUGAGAUGUUGGGUUAAGUCCCGCAACGAGCGCAACCCUCGUUCUAUGUUGCCAGCGCGUUAUGGCGGGGACUCAUAGGAGACUGCCGGGGUCAACUCGGAGGAAGGUGGGGAUGACGUCAAAUCAUCAUGCCCCUUAUGUCUUGGGCUUCACGCAUGCUACAAUGGCCGGUACAAAGGGCUGCGAUACCGUAAGGUGGAGCGAAUCCCAAAAAGCCGGUCUCAGUUCGGAUUGAGGUCUGCAACUCGACCUCAUGAAGUCGGAGUCGCUAGUAAUCGCAGAUCAGCAACGCUGCGGUGAAUACGUUCCCGGGCCUUGUACACACCGCCCGUCAAGUCAUGAAAGUCGGUAACAC
rnacentral:rRNA from 1 species